GAAGAGAGAGUCCUCUAAACAGCAUCUCCCACAGAGUCCCAAGGAUUUCCAGUACCUCAACCCAAAAUUGUGUCUCCUAGGUGAUUCCAAGCCCAUCGCGUUGACGGUGAAGACUAACCAUCUCAGUUCACAGCUAGAAGAUGAGACACCAGCCUCACCAUUCCCUUCAAAGACGCAUCGCCUGUGGCACCCCUCCCCCAUUCAAAGACGCAUCGCCUGUGACACCACCUCUCCCCCAUUCAAAGACGCAUCACUUGUGACACCCCUCCCCCAAACAUCCACCAUUUAUCUAAUGCCAUGCUGGGAAGCAAGCCUUUAUUACACAGGCCUUUAGGGGACCGGAUGGAGUAGCUAUGUAAUAAAAGUUUGUCCGUGCCCUGAGCAUGUGUAUAGCAUUGAG
rnacentral:lncRNA from 1 species